rnacentral:rRNA from 1 species
AGUGAACGCUGGCGGCGUGCUUAACACAUGCAAGUCGAACGAGAACGGAUUAUAGCUUGCUAUAAUUGUCAGCUAAGUGGCGCACGGGUGAGUAAUGUAUAGGUAAUAUGCCUCUUACUAAGGGAUAACAAAUGGAAACGUUUGCUAAUACCUUAUACUCCUUAUUAACAGAAGUUAAUAAGGGAAAGAUUUAUUGGUAAGAGAUUAGCCUGUAUUGUAUCAGUUAGUUGGUGGGGUAAUGGCUUACAAAGACUAUGACACAUAACUGGUUUGAGAGGAUGAUCAGUCACACCGGAACUAGGACACGGUCCAGAAUCCUACGGGAGGCAGCAGUGGGGAAUAUUGCACAAUGGACGAAAGUCUGAUGCAGCAACGCCGCGUGGAGGAUGACACAUUUCGGUGCGUAAACUCCUUUUAUAUGAGAAGAUAAUGACGGUAUUAUAUGAAUAAGCACCGGCUAACUCCGUGCCAGCCGCCGCAGUAA